rnacentral:lncRNA from 1 species
UGGCUUCCCUUUUUUCCAUUCUGCAUAAAAAAUAAAUUAUUUAAUGAAGCAAAUUAUGAAGUACUAAGACAGAAAUACUAAGAUGAUCCUAUCCUAAUUCUUACUGAGCUAAGUGGAAAGAUUAAGAGGUCUGUUUUGAGACUUUUUUGUCAGUUUAAAUGAUACAUCAGACAUCACUCUGGUGAUGUUAAGUAAGGUACGUGAGUAACACUAGUCUUUUUCCUGUUUCUCUUCAUCUUUUUCUUUUCCUUUUUUUUUUAGGAGGUACUGGGAAUUGAACCUGCGACCUCAUACAUGAAAGCAGUCACUUCAAUCACUGAGCUACAUCAAUUCCCUCUUCAUCUUUUUAGUGCUUGCUGCUAUUGUUAAAAUUUUAUCACAUUUUUUUUUUUAGAUUUAUUUUAUUUAUCCCCCUCCUCCCCACUUGUUGUUUUGUGCUUGCUGUCUACUCAUCAUGUGCUCAUCUUUUUAGGAGGCACCGGGAACCCAACUCCAGACCUCCCAUGUGGGAGGGAGGUGCCCAGUGGCUUGAGCCACUUCUGCUCCCUGCCAUUCUGAUACUGAUUUUAGCCAUCAAAGGGAUUUCAGACUGUCUUUCUCUUCCUUCCUAGAAUUGCUUGUUUUUUAUAUUAUAGUUAUGGUUUUAUUACUUUGUAAAGUUCUUAUUAAAUUGAAGGAAAAUGUAAUAUCUUAUAAUGUUUCCUGAAAACACUUCAUAGAUGUUGGUUUCUUUUAUUUCUGACUCUUUUUUCCCUUUCAUCUGAUAGGUUGCAAAUGUCUGGCCCACCAGGUAUGGACUGUUGUUUGAACGAAGCAGUGCUUCACACGAGGUGCCUCCAGGCCCACCCAGAACCCUUACCUACUCUGUUCAGCAUGCUUCACCCUCUAGAUGAAAUAACUCCACUGGUUUGUAAAUCUGGAAGUAAGUAUAUUUUGAUCAGUUUGUUUACAGAAGCUCUUUAGUUUGCUUGUGGGGAGAGAGGAAA